rnacentral:rRNA from 1 species
UACGGAGGGUGCAAGCGUUGUCCGGAUUUAUUGGGUUUAAAGGGUGCGUAGGCGGUUCUAUAAGUCAGUGGUGAAAUACGGCAGCUUGACUGUCGAGGUGCCAUUGAUACUGUAGGACUAGAGUACUGUUGAGGUAGGCGGAAUGGACGGUGUAGCGGUGAAAUGCUUAGAUAUCGUCCAGAACACCGAUAGCGAAGGCAGCUUACUAAAGAGUAACUGACGCUGAGGCACGAAAGUGUGGGGAUCAAACAGG